rnacentral:rRNA from 1 species
UACGGGGGGGCAAGCGUUGUUCGGAAUUACUGGGCGUAAAGGGCUCGUAGGCGGCCAACUAAGUCGGACGUGAAAUCCCUCGGCUUAACCGGGGAACUGCGUCCGAUACUGGAUGGCUUGAGUUCGGGAGAGGGAUGCGGAAUUCCAGGUGUAGCGGUGAAAUGCGUAGAUAUCUGGAGGAACACCGGUGGCGAAGGCGGCAUCCUGGACCGACACUGACGCUGAGGAGCGAAAGCCAGGGGAGCCAAACGGG